UUCAAAAGUAAGCCAUAAUUUUUAAAUUCCCCUUUCUCACUCUCUCUGUCUAAAUAUUUCCCCUUUCUCUCUCCAAUAUUGAAGCUCAGCUCCGUCGCGACUCCCUCUUUCACUACCAAACUCCAGUGGUCCUCGCAAAUUCCCUUAACCCUCGCAAUUCCCUUCUCCCUCGCAAAUUCUCCAUUGAAGCGCAGCUCCGUUCUCACUUGAAGCGCAACUCCCUUCUCUCUCCAUUGAAGCGAAGAUCCGUUGAAGCAAAGUCGGUUGCUAGGGUUCAAAAAUCAAGGGCAAUCCGAUUAUUGCUAGGGUUCGUAAAUCCAGCGGUGCUCAGGUUUAUAUAAAGGCCACAGGAGAAAACAGUGCUGAGAUGGUAACUGACGAGGGAGCAAUUUACAAUACUUCAAAUGGGGGUUACAACUGGAAAGCUGCUGUGCAGGAGACUGUUUCAGCUACUCUUAACAGAACAAUCUCUAGUGGUAUCAGUGGUGCAAGUUACUACACAGGUACCUUCAAUACUGUGAAUCGCUCCCCAGAUGGUUGAUAUGUUGCUGUUUCGAGCCGUGGUAACUUUUAUCUGACUUGGGAACCUGGUCAGGGCUUAUAAAGUAUAUCGGCGAAUCUCACAGGGAGUGAAUUAAAAUUCAUACAAAUGGAGUGUGCUCAACAACAAGGAGGCGUUGAAUGUGGCUACUACAUUAUGAGAUACAUGUAUGAGAUUGUUAUUUCUCACUUGGAGUGCAAAGGUGUCAUAGAGGAGGAUUUUUGUCCAAGGAAAGCCUCGUAUGAUGUUGACGAGUUGAAUGUGAUUCGAGAACAGUGGGUGCAAUACUUUAGAACUAAAUAUUUAUUGAAUGCAUAACUAUUAGCUUUGGUAAAACAAAGUAAUAUUAUUAGUGUUGUUGUAUGUGUUGGAUAAAUUUAUACAAGUUUUUAUUUGUAGUGUUUUACUACUUAAAUUUUUAUAUUAUAUCGUAUUAAUUUUUAUGAAAGUUUGUUCGGUAUAAUUGUUUA